rnacentral:rRNA from 1 species
UGGGGAAUAUUGCACAAUGGGCGCAAGCCUGAUGCAGCCAUGCCGCGUGUGUGAAGAAGGCCUUCGGGUUGUAAAGCACUUUCAGCGAGGAGGAAGGUGGUGAGCUUAAUACGCUCAUCAAUUGACGUUACUCGCAGAAGAAGCACCGGCUAACUCCGUGCCAGCAGCCGCGGUAAUACGGAGGGUGCAAGCGUUAAUCGGAAUUACUGGGCGUAAAGCGCACGCAGGCGGUUUGUUAAGUCAGAUGUGAAAUCCCCGGGCUCAACCUGGGAACUGCAUUUGAAACUGGCAAGCUAGAGUCUCGUAGAGGGGGGCUAGAAUUCCAGGUGUAGCGGUGAAAUGCGUAGAGAUCUGGAGGAAUACCGGUGGCGAAGGCGGCCCCCUGGACGAAGACUGACGCUCAGGUGCGAAAGCGUGGGGCAGCAAACAGGAUUAGAUACCCUGGUAGUCCACGCUGUAAAACGAU